rnacentral:rRNA from 1 species
UACGUAGGGCGCAAGCGUUAUCCGGAAUUAUUGGGCGUAAAGAGCUCGUAGGCGGUUUGUCGCGUCUGCCGUGAAAGUCCGGGGCUCAACCCCGGGACUGCAUUCGAUACUGUCAGGCUAGAGGUAGGUAGGGGAGAUCGGAAUUCCUGGUGUAGCGGUGAAAUGCGCAGAUAUCAGGAGGAACACCGGUGGCGAAGGCGGAUCUCUGGGCCUUACCUGACGCUCAGGCGCGAAAGCUAGGGGAGCGAACAGG